GCAUCUGUAGCUCAGCUGGAUAGAGUAUUGGCCUCCGAAGCCAAAGGUCGCGCGUUCGAAUCGCGCCAGAUGCGCCA
rnacentral:tRNA from 1 species